rnacentral:lncRNA from 1 species
AGUUAAAAAAAAAAAAAAAAAAAAAAAAAAAGUUCAGUUGACAUAUGCCUUUAAUUUUAGGGGAGGAAGAGGCAGGUAGACUUUUGUGCAUUAAGGCCAGCCUGGGCUAAACAGCAAGUUCUAGUCCAGUCAGGGCUAUAUAGUGAUAUUCUGACUCAAAAGCAAACAGGCAGCUGUGUGAUGGGGGCUGACACCUUUAAUCACAGAAUUCAGGAGGCAGAGGCUGGCAGACCUCUGAACCUAAGGCCCACCUGGUUUACAGAGCAAGUUCCAGGUCAGUCAGAGCUACACAGAGAAAACACUCUGUCUCAAACAAAACCCCAAAACAUUCACAUUCCAUAAUGCGGGGGAAAAGGAGACCAAGCAUCACUCUCAACAACUGGUCACCAAUAACUACUGCUCAAAUUCUUUUUAUUCUCUCAUCUGUACCCUUGAUUUUACUAAUUCACAUAAACAUGCUAAGUGAAUAUAUGGUAGAGCCUCAUUGCAUAAAGCAGGAAUUAUGGUUUUCUAACAAUGUAUAUCAUAAUCCCACUACAGUUUUAAAGAAUGAAGGACCAAGGUAUCAAUAACUUAGAAUAAAAGUCCAGAGUUGGGCUCAGUGGCACAUGCCAUUAGUCCCAGCAUUCGGGAGGCAGAGAUAGUUGGAUCUCUCUUAGUUCUAGCAAGGGUGAGAUCCUAUCUCAAAAUAAAUAAUCAAUCAAGCAAACAAAGAACCAUUAAAUAUGAUUAUAUGAACCAGAAACUGGAUUUUAGAACCACCAUUUAAAUAUAAAGUAAAAAACUGACAUACUUGAUAAUAUUAGUUUGAAACAGUAAGUGAAAAAUCCUACCUGAAGAAUAUAUUGAGUAAGGUCAACUGCUUCUUUUUUCUCAUGUACGAGCAGAGUUUCUUUAUCUUCUACAGUAAUAACAUUAACUUCUCCACGACGUACUUCCCUUACACCUAAAGGCCGUUUUCGAACACAAACUCUGAUUUUCUCCAUUUCAGUCCAAGGAUUCUCUGAGGUGAUCUGCCUGAUAUAUGUUUACAAAUAGACUUUAAUUUUUAAGAAAAAGGAUUCAAUUACUUAAAUGGUCAAAGUGUCAGUACAUUUUGAGUAUCUUUAAUAUAUUUGGGGUUUUUAAUAUAAUUAUUUGUGUUUUUUGUUUGUUUGGUUUGUUGGUUUUAUUUUGAGACAGGGUUUCACUUUGUAGCUCAAACUGGUAUAGAACUUGCUAUGCAGCUCAGGCUGGCCCUGACUUUUUACCCUAGCUUCCGAAGUGCUGGGAUUAUAGGUAUGUACCAUCAAACCCAAAUUUUGGGACAGGACUCACUAUUGUAGUGAAGGCUAGGUCGUGCCUCUUGGCUCUACCUCCCAUGUGCUGGGAUUACAGGCCUAUGCCACCUAUAUGCCAAGCUCAUGCAAAUAAUUCCACAAUAACUGUCAGCAAUGAGAAAGUUUCUACUAGCUAACCUCUGGUUUCAUCUCUGACCUACACUACCUCAUCCUCUGCCCUAUCAAAGAGGAGGGGGGAGGAGGAAGAGGAAGAGGAAGAGAAGGAGAAGAGGAGAAAGAGAAGGAGGAGAAGAGAAGAAAAAGGAGGAUGGAAAAAUGGAUGGAAAGGUGGAAGGAAGGAAGAAAGGAAGGAAGGAGGCGGCGGCUAGAAACCAAAUCUCAGUUAUUUUAGCUUUGAGAUGUGUGUUUGGCUCCUAGUGCUCUUUGUGGCCCCUGAACUCCAGUUGGUUGGUCACCAAAAUCUACCUAUAUUCUGCUACUUAGACACCAAGGCCUUUCCAAAAUCCAAAUCCAUAUAUCUCUUGUUCCCUUUCAAUUCUUGCACACUUAACAUUUUUCUUGAUCAUUAAUCAAAAUUCUUGUUUGAAGAAUGCUUGACUGUUUUGAGACAGAGUCUCUUGUAAAUCAGGCUGGGGUCACAGGCAUAUUCCAUCAGACCAGUUUAUCUGAUGCUAGGGAGUAAAUCCAAGGUUUGGGGCAUGUUAAAUAAGCACUCUACCAACUGAAUGACAUCCUCAGACCCUACAUCCCUUGCUCUUUGAAUCCUAUUGGAUUGAAACUAAGUGUUUCAAAUUAGGUGGUAGGUUUCAAUGUACUUUACCUCCUAUACCUCACAGAUACGCUCAGCCCCUCCCUGAGUCUCAUUACUUCUUUCUUUUCUUGUGUCUCUGUAUGUGCACUUAUGUGUGCAGAGGCCAGGGGACAUUAGGUGUGGUUCUCCUCAGGGCAGGACUGCCUUGUUUUCUGAGACAGAAUUUUUCACUGGAAUCUAGGGCAAGCAUCAGAGAUCCACUGUCUACCUUCUCAGUGCUGGAAUUACAAGCACACAUUACCGCACUGGCUUCUUGUGUGUGUGUGUGUGUGUGUGUGUGUGUGUGUGUGUGCGCUGGGGAUUGAAUUUGUCCUUUUGUUUACACGGCAAACAUUUUAUUGACUGCACUAUCUCCCCAGCUCCACUUACUUCUUUAUUGCUUCUCCCCGAUAUGAGUUUAUUCAUUCCUUAGAAUAUAACCAUAUAUUUCUUCUCAGAGCCAUUCUAUGACUGAUCCUGUCCACUCCUGGCUCAGUCUCCUACUCAGUGCAGUCUUUCAUUGGUCUCAGUGAGUUAUUCAACCCCCAUCGCCUUCCACAAGCUUUACCUGCUGAGACUCGUGUGGUAUAUCUAAGAACCAACCACUUACAUAGAAACUUCUCUAAAUUAGGUU